GAUGAACGCUGGCGGCGUGCCUAAUACAUGCAAGUCGAGCGAACGGACGAGAAGCUUGCUUCUCUGAUGUUAGCGGCGGACGGGUGAGUAACACGUGGAUAACCUACCUAUAAGACUGGGAUAACUUCGGGAAACCGGAGCUAAGACCGGAUAAUAUUUUGAACCGCAUGGUUCAAAAGUGAAAGACGGUCUUGCUGUCACUUAUAGAUGGAUCCGCGCUGCAUUAGCUAGUUGGUAAGGUAACGGCUUACCAAGGCAACGAUGCAUAGCCGACCUGAGAGGGUGAUCGGCAACACUGCAACUGAGACACGGUCCAGACUCCUACGGGAGGCAGCAGUAGGGAAUCUACCGCAAUGGGCGAAAGCCUGACGGAGCAACGCCGCGUGAGUGAUGAAGGUCUUCGGAUCGUAAAACACUGUUAUUAGGGAAGAACAUAUGUGUAAGUAACUGUGCACAUCUUGACGGUACCGAAGCAGAAAGCCACGGCUAACUACGU
rnacentral:rRNA from 1 species